UGUUGGGGAAGCAGGGCCAUGACCAAACAUAAAGGCAUUGAGUGUGUCUGACCAAAAAUACGAUGCAGCUAUCAGCAGUGACUCAUUCCUAUGCAUAUCGGCAAUGGACAACCUGAUGCAUUGGUCUAGUUUUCUCUCACCCCAUUGAACUUCAUUUGAGUGGCUAACUCUCAAGAACCAAUCCUUCCAUCCCACGGUAGGACUGGGCCAGGAACGGAAAGUGUCCUUCCACAGAUCCAGAGAAAAGUUCUCAGCCUUAAAAGGGAUCCUGUUGGUUUCUGUGUUAAUAAGGUCGGUGGGAUCUGGGUUCCCUAACGGGCCAAGACAUUGGAGAUGUGGCUGAUCGGUAGGGAUGAUGAUGUUGUUGGACAGAUCCUAAUGGUUUCGAAGGAAAAAGAAGAACAAAGAAAGAAAAAGAAAAAAUGUUCAGUAAAAUAAAUUGCGGAUGAACAGGGAUGCGGGAAGAGCACAAAAGGUGGAAUGAAGAACUAACCUCAGGGACGGUGAAGUUGAUGGCCAUCUCUUCACUAAGAGGAUGGUCGAAUGCUUCGGAGUUGGUAGAGAAAGGGCUUCGUUGGAGAUCUUGGAGCUCUCGAACAGCGCCGCCACCGGG
rnacentral:lncRNA from 1 species